rnacentral:rRNA from 1 species
UACGUAGGGUGCAAGCGUUAAUCGGAAUUACUGGGCGUAAAGCGUGCGCAGGCGGUUAUGCAAGACAGAUGUGAAAUCCCCGGGCUCAACCUGGGAACUGCAUUUGUGACUGCAUGGCUAGAGUGCGGCAGAGGGGGAUGGAAUUCCGCGUGUAGCAGUGAAAUGCGUAGAGAUGCGGAGGAACACCGAUGGCGAAGGCAGCCCCCUGGGCCAACACUGACGCUCAGGCACGAAAGCGUGGGGAGCAAACAGG